UACGGGGGGUGCGAGCGUUGUCCGGAAUCACUGGGCGUAAAGGGCGCGUAGGCGGCCGAUCAAGUCGGGGGGUGAAAGCCUGUGGCUCAACCACAGAAUUGCCUUCGAUACUGUUUGGCUUGAGACCGGAAGAGGUAAGUGGAACUGCGAGUGUAGAGGUGAAAUUCGUAGAUAUUCGGAAGAACACCAGUGGCGAAGGCGGCUCACUGGACCGGUAUUGACGCUGAGGUGCGAAAGCGUGGGGAGCAAACAGG
rnacentral:rRNA from 1 species